rnacentral:rRNA from 1 species
UACAGAGGUCUCAAGCGUUGUUCGGAUUCAUUGGGCGUAAAGGGUGCGUAGACGGCUCAGUAAGUCGGGUGUGAAACCUCCAGGCUCAACCUGGAGACGCCACCUGAUACUGCUGUGGCUGGAGUCCGGUAGGGGAGCGUGGAAUUCCUGGUGUAGCGGUGAAAUGCGCAGAUAUCAGGAGGAACACCAGCGGCGAAGGCGGCGCUCUGGGCCGGUACUGACGCUGAGGAGCGAAAGCGUGGGUAGCAAACAGG